rnacentral:lncRNA from 1 species
CUAUAUUCAUAAUAUUAUUUAUCAUCCCUGCCACUUUGUUGGACCUACAAAAGAUAAAGUCAACUAACAAAAAUCACAUACAAAAAAAAUUCAAAUUGAAAGAGAAAAUGAGGUAAGAUAGGACGAUGCUCAUCUAAGUUCAGUGAGAACAAAAAAGAGAUUAAAAAGUAGUAAAGAAUGAAAGGUUAGGAAUGAAGGGAGCUAGGUGAAAGAGGGGAAAAGAGAUGUGGAUUUGGGUGCUCCUUAGUGGGAAGGGGAAUGGUUAUUAGAUUGAGCUUUAAAAUUUUUGAAGGAAAAUUUUUAUCUUAAUAAUUUAUAACUUUUUGUAAGAGCAGAAAGUAUUACUAGAAUUUUGCUUGAUUUUGGUCCAAAUGUCAAUUGAGAGAAACUUUUUUGGUGCAUAAAACAAACUUUAAUUUUUUUUUUCUAUAAAUCCACUAAUAAUUAUUAAUUAAAAUGUUUUACUUUAAAAAAUUAACUUGUACAUAAAUAAAGUUUAAAUGCAUAAAAAAAAUAUAAUGAAUAUGAGUAGAUGACUAUUGAUUUGGCUUUUUAAGUUUUAUUUUAAAGAUCAUAUAACUAAAUAUGUAUAGUGUAUUUGAGCCAAAAUUACUCAUAUAAUAUUUUUUUUUACAGAUUAAUAGUUAUGAAAUUUAAAUUAUUGUGUUAUGGUGCAAUAACAUCAAUAAAUAAUUCAAAUAUCUAAAUGAUAAAAUAAUUACAAUAGUAUUAAAAUAAAGAUGGAGAAGAGAGUGUAUUUGUAUGUGUAUAUAUAAUGAGUAAGUUUUCAAAAUUAGUUGUUAUAUAAGAUAUAAUUUGAGUAUAGUAAAAUAAUUAAUAUAAAAAAUAUAUAAUUUCUAAAAGUAACAAAUUCAACAAAUUUAUGGGAGUCAAUAAUCGCCACAAUUUAUACUAAACUGUGAUCAUUUUGUAACUAUUCUUAUAAAAUCGCUUCAAAAAAUAUUUAUAUUGUGGGAAUUUCAACAAAAUGCCGCAAAAUGAAUUAUUAGUGGAGUUUCUUAAAUCUUCCAUAAAUAAACCGCCACAAAUUGACCAUUUUUUUUUGUAGUGGAAGAUUUGAAUGUGAAACCAUGAAUCAACAAAUAGUUUAAGGGUAAUGUAAAAUUUACUGCAAUUGAUUUAAGCUUGAGUGGUUUAGCAUUAGGCUUUCCGUUGUAAUCAAGCAGCAAUACCGUAAGCUGUGGUAUAUAGUGACCUUAAAAAGCCCGAAAAAACAAAGCAGUUAACAAAUUUUUGCAACCAAAUUAAGGAAACAUAGGCAAGUUGACUACUAUUGCUUGGACUCUUCAAAAAUGUUGACAGGUGUAUGUUGAAUCUUCCAAAUAAGUACUACUUUUGGAGGAUCCGACACAGCUGUGACAACAUUCUUGGAGAGUCCAAGUAACAUAAAAGUUUAAAUCUAUUAAACCUGCAUAACUUUCCCCAGCUAAGAAAAGAUCCGAGUUUCUAUAUUGGGGGAAUUUCUCUAACCAGUUGAGGAUGAAUUGGAGAUUCUCCUUUGCUAUAAAAGAUUAGAAAGUGCAAAAUCAGACAUUUCAAUUGCAUUGAAGUACCAAAUAUUAUUGGCUAUUUCUGGAGAACUGGUAUACCUGUUGCAACAUCAUCCCAAUUGGUGUAGUCUGAGCUUGUAGUCGAGUAUGAAAAUCCUACUCCAAUUGGGGACUCAAUGUAUAACAUGUUCGAUUCUUUCGUGUUAUAGCAAUCAAAAUCAGUCAUUGUUAUCUGAUUUUCGGUUUAUAAAGUCUUUUCAAUAUGAUUAUUUAAGGAAAAUUUAAAAAACAAGAAACGUUACCCAAAUUCCAAGAAUACACGUUUUUCAUUAGGCUCUCAUCUUUCCCGGGCUGGAAAGGACCAUGUUAUAUAAAAGCCCCAAAACCAACUGAUGAAUAACCAGGGCCUAAGAUAUCACUGCUAGAAAAUAUUAAAUUUCCGACUGCCAGUAUAGUCAGAAUGUGGUCGGAAUUAAGGUAUUUUCGAUUACUUUCCGACAGAUUCAAUGUAGUCGAAAUAUAGCUUGUUGGAAAAACAUUUCCGACUACAGUAGUCGGAAAUGAGCCGGAUAUUUAAUAAAUAUUUAUUUAAUAAUUAUAAAUAUUCCGACUACUGUAGUAAAAAAUUUAAUAAAUAAUUAUUUAAAAAUUAUAAAUAUUUCGACUAUAGUAUUUGAAAAUUUAAUAAAUAAUUAUUUAAUAAUUUAAUUUUUCCGACUACUGUAGUCAAAAAAUUAAUAAAUAAUUAUUUAAUAAUUAUAAUUAUUCCGACUACUGUAGUCGGAAAAUUAAUAAAUAAAUAUUUAAUAAUUUUAAUAAUUUCGACUAUUGUAGUCGAAAAUUUAAUAAAUAAUUAUUUAAUAACGUAAUUUAAUAAAUAAGUUUUUUAUAAUUAUUAUUAUUCUAANNNNNNNNNNNNNNNNNNNNNNNNNNNNNNNNNNNNNNNNNNNNNNNNNNNNNNNNNNNNNNNNNNNNNNNNNNNNNNNNNNNNNNNNNNNNNNNNNNNNNNNNNNNNNNNNNNNNNNNNNNNNNNNNNNNNNNNNNNNNNNNNNNNNNNNNNNNNNNNNNNNNNNNNNNNNNNNNNNNNNNNNNNNNNNNNNNNNNNNNNNNNNNNNNNNNNNNNNNNAAAUUAAUAAAUAAUUAUUUAAUAAUUAUUAUUAUUUAAUAAAUAUUUAGUUAAUAAUUAUUAUAUUGCAUUAGCUUACACUUCUUUCAGAUUAUAAACGACAUAACUAAUGUAUUUUUCACAGCAGGAUCAAACACGACAAAAAUUUAUAAAUACAACCACUUUAAACCGUUCAAAACAAACAUCAAAUCAAAUAGUUUAAACAUCUAAAUGUCACAACCAAAAACAAGUACAAUAACUACAUUCUAAUUAUUAUCAGAUUCAUUAUCUUCCUCGUCAUGAAAUACUUGCGGCAUGUGCUUCUUAACCAACUCCUCCAAUUUGUCAAAUUUUGCAAACAUAGCAUCGUUAGCUGCAUAUUUCCGCGUCAAUUCCACAAUUUUCUUUUUCAUCACUUCCAUUUGUUCCAUAGUUUGCAAAGUAGAAGAGGAACUGGGAAACAACGAAGGACUACUCGAGGAUUGGAGAUUCCUUGUCCCGUAGGUUCUACCUUUCUUUGGACCACCUACUACAGUUGUCCACAUAUUAUUCAGCUCUGCAGGUGAUGGUUGGACCAUGGUACCGCCCUCUGAAGUAGGUUUGGUUUGACGCCACUCUUCUAUGCUUUUUUGAAAUUCUUCCUGAAAGAAAAAUUAUUUGUUAGUAUGUAAACAAGCAAAUUUGAGUGAUAAUAAAACAAUGUAUGUAAAAGUUAUUAUCUUACAUAUGCAUUCUUAGCACGUAUUUCUACCCAAUCUCCUCUUGUACUGCCCUUGUUUUUCUUUCUAUGCAUCUCUUCGUAGACAUCAAUAAAAGGAUGCUUUUUUCCCCCAUUUUCAUAUUCUUGCAAAAUUUGGGAAAAAGAGAUAAUGAAAUUAUGAAGACAAGUCCGGGAGUCCAUGAAUAUAACACAAACAAAUAUGAAAUAUGAAUAAUAGUCAAAGUAUGGAAAAACCUAUAUCAUCUAAAAGGGAACAUCCAUCAUUAUUAGUUUGUACAAAAAAUAACUAAGAUUAUUUUUCACAUCUACUACUUAACUAAUCAUUGGUGUAACACCUAUAAUCAUAUCUGAGUACCUAGUGUUGUAAAUCUGAACUGCUAUAUGCUCUUCAAGUUUGAAAUGUCGCGUCCAUUUUACCAAUUCAUAAUUGAUAUAUCUUGUAGUAUGUUCCAAUUGAAUUGAUCUUACAUUGGUUAUGGAACUAGACAGUCUCUGAAAAUCUAAAUUUUGGCAUAUGAUUGAGUGAAUGUUUAGCUUGGACUGGCUGUAGUUAGGCUAAGUUGACCACCCUUGAGUGUGAUCUUAUAUGCUACGCAUUUUAUGCAAUCCUUAGAUGAAAUAGGCUUGUUUGAAAUACGGUCUAGCUGUAGUACUAGUAAAAUGUAGUCAAAACGAAGGGCUCUAAGUACCUUAUUCUGCCAUGUGAGUAACAUGGAUAGCAACAAAGUAUGGGGUGGUGUUGUCACUAGUCCAAACAAUGUGUGACUAGCGUACUCUAAGAGGUGUUAUGAUGUCUUUAUUCUAUGUUUUGAAUCACAGGAAUUAUGGAUAGGAGACAACUCGCACUAAAAGGAAAAACAAGUCCUUCAGAUCUAGCGAGUAAACGCAGCAGACAGGCUGAGAGGUAAACUGAUUUAACAGCCUAAAUCAUCUAGUGUCCAAUGUUUAUCUGUAGCUAAUGAUCAAAUUCAGUAGCCUGAAUCACCUAGUGAGCAAUGCUUGUCUCUGGCUAAUAAUCAAACCUUGGAUAUUGCUAGUGUGAGUCGAAUCAACUCUCAUGUAACAACAACACAUAUACUUGGGGUUCACAAGAACAACUGGUCAGGCAAAGAACAAGAAUCUUCUAAAGUAACCUCAUGUCUAAUGGCUAAUGUACAGGGGACAAAAUCAUCCAAUGAGUGUAAUACUACAUUAAGCUGCUUCCUACAUACAAGAGAAGCUUCCUUGGAAUCUGAAGGCAAAAGAACGGGAGGUAUGGUGUUGUGAUAAUAGACAAAAUUAGGCAUAAGAAAAUAUGGUUGGGAACUUUUGACACUGUUGAAGAGGCUUCACAAGCUUAUUUCUCCAAGAAGUUUGAGUUUGAGAAACUAAUCCAACAAGGUAAUAAGGAAAAUAAACCAAAGGAGAAUCUUAAUCAAAUUCAGCAGCCAGAAUUACCUGUUAUGCAAUGCUUGUCUAUGGCUAUUGAUCUAACCUUGGAUACUACUAGUGUGAUUAGAAUCAACUCGCACGAAAUAACACAUUUCUUUCUACGCCCCCUCUAUAUAUGUAUUUACACCUAGGGGGAUUAAGGUCAUAAAGUAUGUUGAGCGUAGAGAAUAAAGGUUGGAAGCAGGCAAUGGAUCUUUCUAAAACCAUCAGGCAGUGUGAUAUAAGAUCAAGUUCACAAUAAAAGAAACAAGCAACAACAAGAGCAACAAGAUGAAAAAAUGCUAGUGAAUCAAAAUAGGCCACACACGGCUUCACUAGACUUCAAGAUGAACAACAACAAGAAGAUAACAACAAUAGUGAAUCGAAAGAGCCCCACACGGAUUCACUAUGUCAUGGUUUAGAAUGUUGAACUAAACUAAACAAAUAAAAAAUUUAAGCUAAUAUUACCAGUCUUCGUCGGUGGGUAGUGAAACUCAUCAAACCUCCAGUGUGCAACGAGCCACCCAUUUGAGACGCUCUAUUUGCCUUUGCCUAUUCCCUAUUUGCACGAUAUUCAAGAGUAUCCCAUUUUUCUAAGAACUGAUCCUACACAUUAGCAUUCAGCCAACUAGAUUUUUCCCAGUUCUUCCAAGCCUCAUACAAGUGUUCUUUGAUCCGUUAAGCUACUUUGAACUUAAAAAUGCAUUGUAUUUUAUUAUCAUGACAAUAAUUCUAAGCACACUUUGUCUGCAAAAUAGUUUAAUACUUGUAAAUUCAUCAUUGAUAGCAUACUGAAAUGGUAAAUUCUUUGAUUUUGAUCAUACCACAAACUGAUUCCACAUAAGUACUCUGAUGUCGAGUUAAAUCCCGUUCCAACUACCCCACGACUCUGUGUAAAAUGAUUUAAUUGCUUUUAUAACUAUAUGUCUGCCGCUACAUGCGGGAAUGAACCUGCAAUAAAAUUAUAUUAAAUUAUCUUAUCUUUUGAAAAUUUUAAAAAUUAUGAAAAAACAUAAGAUUUACUUACCUAUUACCAUCGGGGGAAAUCAUUAGCCUCUCAUUGCCAUCAUAUUCUACUACCUCUUUAAAUUUCAGAAUCUGGGAAACAACUGGUAUAGCAUUAGACGCUGCAACACUAUUAAUGGAGGGUGAUGUUGAUGUACUGGGACCUCCAAUUCUCAAUCUAGAAAGGCUAGGUGUGGAUGAUGUUGAAGGUACAGAUGAAGAGCUACUAUGUAGACUAUUAUAGGGAGAAGAGGGCUGGAACUGGUGGGGCUGUGGGGGCAUGAAAAAUGCAUUUGGUAGUGAAAUAGUUGCCCUCGAAGGAAGAAUAAUAUUUGUAGCAGCUGGUUGAAGUUUUUUGGUAACAAGUGGUGGUGGUGGUGGUGGUGUAUAUUGACCUGUGAAAAGAUUAUCAGGUCCUUUCUUAGCUUUCUUAAACCAUCUAUUACCAUGACCUUUUGAUGCCAUUGAUUUUCCUUAUUAACCAACUAGAAAAAAAAACACGAAAUGGAGUUAGUCUAUGUUGUGCUGCCCAGAUAUGUUUCCUAGAUCAAACGAAAAACAAAGCAAUAAAUUCAUUAAAUGUCUAUAAGGACUGGUUAUACAGUGCAAGUUCAACCAUUGACUCUUCACAUAUAAAGGUAACAAAACUGGCAGCAUACUAACCCAUGAAUACAUGGACCAACCACAUUUGGUUGACAGGAGCACAACACAAAGUUAGAAGAUUAUCAGCAGGCAGCAAGACAACAAGUCUCCUGAUAGCAAAUGACAUAAUUAUAUGUGGUAUAGAUGAUUAAGGUUAUUCUAUUCAGCUUCUACUCAAAAAAUAAAUGCCAGGGUUGGAUCCCACUGUAGUGAUAUAUUACAUAUAUAGAAAAAGUCUAGCACAAAUGAUAGUUUCAAGUAAGCCAUUUUGACCCUGUACAGAAGGAGAAAGCAGUCUGAUUCCAUAUGAUGUAUAUAGAACAAGCAUACAGAUGAGUGCAGUGUAAUAUGAAAAUGCACAAGACAAGUAAAUCAUGUUGCAUAGUUACUGGCACUGCAAAUGUUAACAAAGAAAAGACACUAUAUUGUCAAGAAAAAUAUGAAAAAGUAGCAGCUAAAAUACAACUCAAGACCUUGUUACAACACAUUACUACUAUUAAUAAUAACUCAAUCCUCAUCGCUUGUUUCAUAGUCAUUCAUCAAUUCUUCCUCAUCACUUGUUUCAUAUUCAUUCAUCGAUUCUUCCUCAUCACUUGUUUCAUUUUCAUCAAGUAACUCUUCCUCACUUAUUUUAUUAUCAUUAGUUGGAUCUUUCUCAUCAUUUGCCCUGGAUGAUCCUUCUCCAUAAAUGAACAUUCAAUGUAAGUUCAGAAGGAUCAAAUUCUUCAUAUACUCCUACUUACUGCUCAUCUACCCUAAUCCGCGUCCUCCACACAUUUGUUUAUUCAUAUAAAAUAUAAUAAGCCUACCAUUAGCAUCAUACAAUGAUGAGAAUAGAAAUAGGAAAACUCAGAUUAAACCCCUUAGAUCUUACAAUUAGAAAGCUAGCAUAGAAUACUACUUGGAAACACAGAUGCAGGAAAAACUAACACAUAUUAGAGAGAUUACAGAAAUGGUAAAAUUUUACUGGAACAUUCAUCCACCAGCAUAUACAAGUACAAAUAUGAUACUCAAGUAUAUGCACUUCUCAGUGUGCAUUAUCCAUACGCAAUUUGUGCAUGACUUGGUCUCUAAGUAUCAUUUGUCCACUUUACUGUUAACGAUUAACAUACUUAUUUUACCAUAAGUAUCUAAUUUGUUUCAUUGAUAGUAAUGAAAUGCAUCACUGUGUUAAGUAAGAUCAUAUUAUGCUAAAAAAAAGGAGCAUACAAACCCAAAAAUAAGAUACAAUACCAUACUAAGAUCUGACAAUCUCUACACUUAUCUAAAAUGCUUACUAGCAAAGAUACGUUAUUCUGAAGACAAACUAACAAUAAAAGGGCUGGUUUUAGAUAUGUUAAAAUUUCACUAGAACAUUCAUACACCAGGCAGAAAUAGUUUCUUCAAAAUACACAAUCUUGCAUACUCAAGUAUAUCAGCAGAAGCAGUUUCCUCAGAAAUAUACACACAUUUACAACCUAUGCACAUCAGCAGAUCCUCUAUUUAAAUCUAGCGAAUCUAAAAGGGUCCAUAUUGUAUACUGAGUAUAAUUGUUUUUCCUCAUCUUAACAAGUCACUCAACAUAAUACCAUAUAAAAAUAACUUAUAAAAAAUUAGCCACGAAACUUAAAUCAUAGACAAAAAACAAGAGAGAAACUUAUUGUUAAGACUCCACCAAAUUAGAAAUGUUGUGGUCGCCAUCGUCGUAAAGACUCCACCAACGCUGUCAUCGUCGUCGCUGUUACCACUGCACCAACGCUGUCGUCGUCGUCGCUGUGGUCACCCUAGCUUAGAGAGAGGAGNNNNNNNNNNNNNNNNNNNNNNNNNNNNNNNNNNNNNNNNNNNNNNNNNNNNNNNNNNNNNNNNNNNNNNNNNNNNNNNNNNNNNNNNNNNNNNNNNNNNNNNNNNNNNNNNNNNNNNNNNNNNNNNNNNNNNNNNNNNNNNNNNNNNNNNNNNNNNNNNNNNNNNNNNNNNNNNNNNNNNNNNNNNNNNNNNNNNNNNNNNNNNNNNNNNNNNNNNNNNNNNNNNNNNNGCUGUGGCGUCGGUGGCGGUGUGGCCCCUCGGGGGGGGGGGGGGGGGGGGGGGGGGGGGUUUAGAGAGUGAGAGAGAAUUGGGAAAGUGACUUAGAUGAGUUAUAUGUUAAUAUAAUAACUUUUCCUACUACUUCAGUCGGAAAGUGGUUUAAUAAAAUUAAUUAUUUAAAUUUUUGUACUACAACGGUCGGUUAUAUAUAAUACAUUUAAGUAAUUGUUUAUAUUUCCGACUACAUUAGUCGAAAAUACAAGUUUAAUAAUUUGUUUAAAUAAUUAUUUUAUUGUUGUAUAAGGGUCUGAGUAAAAUAAUUUGUUUAUUUAUAUUUUCGACUACAAUAUUCAGAAAUACAUAUUUAAUAGUUAAAAAUUAUUUAAUUUUUAUAUAAGGGUAUAAUAUAUAUUUAAUAAUAUAUUUAUUUAAUUAUUUAUUUUUCGACUACAGUAGUCAGAAAUAAAUAUUUUAUAAUUUAUUUAAAUAGUUAUUUAUUUUUUGUAUAAGGAUCUGAUUAUAUAUUAAAUAAUAUACUUAUUUAAUUAUUUUAAUUUCCGACUACAAUGGUCGGAAAUGAAUAUUUAAUAAUUUAUAUAAUUAAUUAUUUAAUUUCCGUAUAAGGGCAUAAUUAUAUAUUUAGUAAUAUAUUUAUUUUAUUAUUUUUAUUUUUGACUACAGUAGUUGGAAUAUACAUUUCCCGCAAUUUUUCAUCAAACAUUCUGACUGUUCUAGUCACAAAUACUAUCAGAAUAAUAUUUUGUAAAAAAUAAAAAUAAAAAAGUAUAUUUUCGACUGAAGUAGUCAAAAAUUUCCGACUACUUUUUUCAGUUGGAAAUUUUCAGUCGAAAAAUAGAAAUUUUCUGGUAGUGUAUUGGAUUCUAACAAAUUAGUAUCUUGUCAGUUCAAUUCUUCGAAUCAAAAUCAACGUCACUAGAGAUAUGGUAUAUGAUAUUGCUCGAGCUCUUCAAAAAUGUUGUUAUACCCAUGCUAGAUUCUCAAAUAAUGCACUAUUUUUGAGCGAUCCGGCGUGCAAUCUAUGGGCAUCUUUUUAAGAGUUCGAGCAACAUAGGAGAAAUGUACUUCCAUUAAGCCACAGAGUAAGGGGGAGUGAUGCUGCACUUUCUGAAUCUGCUUCAACAAAAUAAUAAAAUAGAGCUUUACCCUUUUGAGAAUUUGUAACAAUAUAACCAAAAUACUGUUUGAAAAAAAUAUUUGGAGGCUGCCUAGGAAGAGAAGCUCUAAGCUCAGAAAUUAAUUUCAAGUAGAAGAAAGAAGAAAAGAUAGUGAAGACACAGAACCAUGGAACCAUUUUCAGAUUUUUUUAAAAAAAGUGAUUGUGUGUAUCAACAAGUGGAAGCACGAUAAUUGUACAUUAAUAUUAAGUUAUUAGUUGAUAAAGUACGCCAUGAGGAUUUAAAUAUUACAUCAACCUUUAAAUAUGCAAUGCUACUACCAAGAAGAUUGGAUUCACAGUUUCACGCCUACUUAAAAGAAAUGCCGUUCAACUGUGGUUGGCGAAAUAGUCUACUUUUACUCUUUGUUUUAAGUAAGCCUCUUUGUUACAAGACUGGAACACUUUUGCUCUUAUUUUGCACUCGUUAGCUGACAAAGAAAACGACAGCCUGGUGCACUGAAGUUACCACUAUACGAGGGGUCCGAGGAUGGGUCGGACCACAAGGAUCUAUUGUACAUAGUGUUACGUUGCAUUUCUCUGGGAGUCUUUUCCCACCAAUGGAAUUGUUACAAAAUACUCCCUCCGUCUCAUUUUAUGUGUCGCCAUUUUCUUUCUGUCUGUUCCAAAAAGAAUAUUACUUUUUCUUAUCUGGUAAUUAUUUAAUAACAUCAUCCCCAUUUUAUCCUUAAUGGGCCCCACUUUAUAAGAAAAGAUAAUUAAAAAGUAAACUUUAAAAGGGGCAAUUUUAUAAACUUUACAAAGUCAUCAUUUAUUUCUUAAACUCCAUACCCGGUCAAUUAACGACACAUAAAAUAGGACGAAGAGAGUAGUAAUAAUACAAAGAAAUAGGGCAAACAUCCCAAAUUGCCCUUGUGGUUUGCAAAUUAUCCAAAACUACCCUUUACUUAUUUGCUUCAUGAAUUGUUUUAUGUCUCUAUAUUUAUUUAUGUUUGUUUGAUUUUAGUGGCGGACCCAGAAUUUUCACCAAGUGAAUUUAAUAUAUAAAAAGUAAAUACACAACAAAGGAAACAAAAUAAAGUUUGAUUAACUAAAACAUAUUAUUACAAUACUAUUAUACGAGUUUUCAUUUCUUGAGACCUAUUCAUAAUACUUUCAUCAGAAACAGUAUUAAAUAUUUUUUUCUACAUAAACAACUACUCAUGAAACCAUAAUCCAUUUGAUUUCUCAAUUCACUCUUGAUCAACUUCAUUGCCAAAAAGGCUCUUUCAACUGUAGCAGUGGCAACCGGCAACAACAAUGCAAACUUUACAAGAUGAAACACAAGAGGAUAAUUAAAGUAUUUUUUUUUGUCUUAACUAGCUCCUCUGAAAGGUCACCAAGUCCUUUUAGAUUAGAAAAUAUUUUCUCAACAUCAUGAACAUCAACAAUAUAAGUCUCUAGCUGAUUCUUGAGAGUAACAAUUAUAUUUUCACCAAAAUCAUCAGGAUAUAAUUCAGCCAUUCUUAAUAUUUUAUUUAUGUCAAAAUUAGAAAAUGAGUCAAAAGGAUUCAAGCAAGCAUCCCAAUAAGCAAAUCUGUUCUCACCUCAUUAAAACGAUCAUUGAGUUCUUGAAGUUGCCAAUCAAUAAUAUUAAGAAAAUACUUCCAUGUAAUAGUGAUGUGAGAUAGUAUAAUCAACAGCUCCUUAUCGAAAUCUUCAAAAAUUAAUGUAGAAUUCAUUAAAAUUGAGUAUCUAAAUAUCACACCUAACACAAAAUGCAGACACAUUCUUGAUAAGUGGAUCCCAUCCUUCAUCCCGUAAAUCUUGCAAUCGUUUCUUCACCACUUUAACAAAUAGAACAACAUUUGCAAUAUCUUGUUCUUUUUUCUAUAAGAAUUCAUUCAGCUCAUUUGUGAUUGCUAAAAUAUCUCUCAUUAGGUGCAAUAUGAAAGCAACCUCAAACAUUUGGCAAGUUCUGGGAUAUCCUAUUGCUCUAGCAUUUUCUUGAUUCAAGACCAAGUUCUUGAUUCAAGCCCUUACUAGUUUCAGCCUCGCCCAUAUCUAGUGCCUCUUGAACUUUUUCUGCUUGAGCUUGUCAAAGUUCAUCCAUUCAUUUAAAAGAACCUCCUACUACAUUCAAUACAUUAAAAAUCAAUAAUACAAGUUCUCCAACUUGAAGAUAUUUUUGUAGAUUCACCAACAAGAGUCAAUUGAAGUUGAUGAGAAAAAUAAUGAAUUGCAUGAGCUGAUCGACUUUCUUGCUGAAUAUAAACUUUAAGGCCAAUUAUAUACCCUUGCAUAUUGCUUGCUCCAUCAUGUCAUUUCCCUCGUAUACAAGAUAAACUCAAAGAAUGUUGAGUAAUUAACAAUUGCUUCUUUUAAACAUAAAGCACUUGUAUCAUGAACAUGAACAAUUCCUACAAAUCAUUCCACAACAGAUCCCCUACCAUCAGCAUAUCUCAAAACAAUUAUCAUUUUCUCCUUAUGUGACACAUCACAAGAUUCAUCUACUAGCAAUGAGAAAUAAUCACCAUUUAGAUCCUCUAUAAUAGCUUUAAUUGUUUCAAGUUUACAUGCACUGAUAAUAUCCUUUUGAAUUUUAUGAGAAGUCAAUUGAUUAUUUUUUAAAGUCUUUUUCAACACAAGAUCUAUAAUUUUAUCCCACCGACUUGCAUACCAUGAAAUAAUUUCAAUAAAGUUACUCUUAUUCAGUGAUGAUUCAUCUUCAUGGUGUCUACGGAAUGCCAAUCAUUGAUUUAAAAGAAGUCUCACCACAUCAAUAGAAGCUUGUAAAUGAAUUCUGUAUUCAAGAUUGGUUUGAUUGGAUGACUUCAAAAAUGUGUCUUUAAUUGAUUGUCUUUGUCGCAUUAGAUCUUCACACUUUUUCUUUGCCUGAUUGUGAUCAUUGUUCGGCCCUCCAACGUGCGUAUCUAAUUUUUCUUUCUGUGCCAACUUCUAAAUCCUAUACUUAAAAUGCUUCACCUCUACUUUGAUGAAUUCUUUCAUCUUGAAAUAAAUAACAACAUAAAAAAUAAGUGGUAUCUUCAAUUUCAUUAUACUAUAACCAAUCAUGAUAUAGUUUAAACCAUUUAUGAUUAAAACGACGUUUUAAUUCAAAAAUCUCUCUUUGAGAAAACUCGUGAACUCAAGGUUGGUGAGUACCUCUUUGAUUAUAUGCUUGCCUAAUCUCAUCACGAUCAUUCGGAUGAUAUUCCCAAAUAGAUUCUCUUUCUUUUGGAUUUGCCGGUAAAGAAUUCAAGUUUACUCCUUCCUUUUAUUUUUUAGCAGAAUGAUGAUUUUCAUCGAAUUGAUUCAAGUUUUAUUCCACGUGAGGAGUAUUUUAUGUGGAUGAACAUGAUUGUGGCACUGGCAACUUUGAUGAUACCGGAGUGAAAUAUCUCUUCAUUGAAUUUAGAACCUUUAUUACCGAAUUAAACGUCUCAUUAGAAAAGUAAGAGUUAUUGUAAGCAUUUGAAUUUUGAAAGUUUUUAAAAAAUAACUAAAAUUGAAGAGAAAAACAAUUGUGAUUUUCUUCAAUCAUAAGUUGGAAGAAUUUUUUAAGUUGAGAAAAUAAAAAAUAACCGCAAUAAUUUUAUAUCUAGAAAAGAUUGAAAGUAGAAAUAAAGAGUAAAGAACAAGAUUGAUAAAUUUCUUGAUUGAUGAGAGAUUGACUUUUCUUUUUCUUGGAGGCUAUAGGAUUUUUUUAUUUUUCUUUAGGUAAAAGUCAUCGUUUCCACCUCAAACUAUACAUGAAAAGUCACUUACAACUUAAACUAAUCAAGCGACCCAUUACACCCUUAUUCUUAUUUUUAGUGGAAUUAACACUUCCUUGUCAGUUUUAAAAUCAAUCAUAAAUUGAGUAGUGCAAUACACUCGCUCCACGUCACUUUCCACAUUAAAAAUAAUUUUAAACAUUAUUUUUAAUAAAAAUUUUCAAGUCCAUCUUCCUUAGCCCGUCCAUAUCUCCCGUCACCUCUCCAAAAAGGAAAUUACCAAUAAAUAAAUACAUUAAUGGAGCAGCAAACAAACCAAGAUUCAAAGAUUUCUCAAUAAGAAUGGGUUGUGAGAUAGAUAGCAACAAAAAUAAAAGUGAAGGUCACUGGAAUUUUAUUUUUUGAUGAAAGUGAAAAAUUUUUGAUGAAAAUUUUAGAUCUUGGGAUAAAAUUACAAGGAGAAAGAUUUGAGUAAGGUGUUUUUCCAUGUGCUUUGAAGGUCGAAGAAAUUUUGUUAGUACUGUAAACUUUCUAAUAGAAUUUUUCAGCAAAACUCUGAUGAACUUUUCACUCUUUUUCUAUGAUUGUUAGGAUCCAUAUUUUCUAAUCUUUGCUACCGAUUCACUUCCCAUUUUAAGUAAAUUAAUUGAAUUCUGUAAGGAAAAGAGGAAACUGACUUGAUGAACAUUUUGGGGGUUGGUCGUAGUGGAUAUUUUGAUGGCCAUUAAUGGCACCAAGUGCGGUGAAAAUGAUAAAAUAAGAAGAAGACGGAAACUUAAAUUUAACAUUUUUAAAGAAAAGAAGAAGAAGAAGACGGUGAAAAAGUUAAAGCAAAGAGGCCCAAAAAAGUUGGUCAGUUAAUGAUAAUUAACUUCAUAACAACCGCUAGAAAAUUAACAUGUGUAUAAUUAAAUUUAUUUUUAACAUUUUUAAUUAUCUUUUUUCUGCAUUGUACCCGUACACGCGCUCAAAAUAUUUGGAUUGCAUGCACAUGCCACGUAGACAAAGGGGGGGGGAGGUGUUAGUUCUAGUAAAAAUAAGAAUAAGUGUGUAAUAGGUUGUCUAAUUAGUUUAAGUGUGUAAGUGACUUUUCGUGUAUAGUUUGAGGUGGAAACGAUGAAUUUUUCCUUUUUCUUUAUUUUGUAGGGAAUGGGUAAUAAGGGGAAUUAAGGAUUAGAGAAUUAGUAUGUUUUUAGGAAAAAAAUGGAGAAGUUAAAGUUUUUUUUUUUACCUAAAAAUCAUUGAAUUAGCAUGUUUUGGAAAUUAUUCCUUAAAACUUUUCAGCUACUGAUGCUUAAAACAAUAAAACUUGGCUGCUGCUUUAAAAACUUUUCAACUAUGAUGCUUAAAACAAAAAAAAAGGGGCUGCUGCUUUUAAAGAAAGAGUUUUGCUAGCAAGAUUCGAACACACGACACAUGUAUUGUGAAUUGAAUACCGUUUUCACUGGAACAUACACUUCAGUUGUGCUUUGUGGGUUCAAAAUAAAAUGUAUACCUUUGAUAUUUAUAAAGAUUGAUUAUAUAUACAUAUAUAUACAGUGUAAUUUUUCAACAAAGUGAGUUUAUAUGAACCCAUUUGAAUCUAAGUGGGUCUGCCCUUGUUUGAUGUGAGAUAUAUACGUGACUGUCAUUAAAUAUGUUGGAUUUAUGUAAUACCCUGAAGAUUUCUAGCCAAUUUCAUUUCAAGAAUGCCUAGUAUUAGCUUCUAAAGUGAAUGAUAAUUAUUUCAUGAGGAAUUUUUAUGAUUUUCACUUUUUGUCAUGUGGAAAAUUUAAUAGGCUUUCCAUCGAUAUAUGAUUUGCUUAAAUUCGAUAAUCGGGUAAGAAGUUAUGACUAUUUCAAGUUUCUAUCAUAAAACAACGCCAUAUUAGUCAGUGGCGCGCUGUGCCAUAAGAGGAAAUGGCAUUUGUCCAUUUUCAGUAGAUGUCUGCAAUUAUAACGCGUCGCGCCAGCACACAAAUUCAAAAUUGUCCUUUUUUCAGUGUCUCAGGGCGAUUUCCCCUGCGUCGCGCCAAAGUUCCUAGUCACGAAGGAAGGGGCAAUGCGAUGGCUCUGCAUCGCACUAUCCCUCAGUUUCCCAAUUGUCAAAUUCUAGUGACAUGAUACGAUAGCGCCACAUCGUUCUAGGAGUUCAAUUCGGAAAAUUUUUUCUGAAAUUACAAGACGCGUCUAGGGUUAAAAGGGUCAAUUUCCCACCCCUAUUUAAGCCCUUUAACACGUGAUUCAACCAUUUUUCACCUAAAAUACACUCUUUUCUCUCAAGUUUCUCUCAAGAACAAGCUAGGGUUUUCAUAGAAGAUCUAAUUUCAAGAAGGUUUCACCAUCAAUCUUCACAAAAUCAUGAACUAAGGUAUGCAUAGUGUUCAUUCAUGAACUCCUUUUGUCCAUGAAGCCCAAGAAUCCCUUUCUAAAUUCAAGUUAUGGAUUUCUGUAUGAAUUUUAUGUUGGGCUGGUUUUAUUUAUAUUGAGAAUGAUCAAUUGAAUUCAAAUCCAUGUUGGGUGAUUAAUUUUAUGUGGAAUUGAUUUGAAUAGAUGUAUAUUCAUGUGAACCUAUGAAUAAACCCUAGAAUGAUGAAAUUUGAGAUAAAUCAUGAUGAUUAAUUAUUGUAUAAUGUUGUCUACAUGUGCUAUGCCUACCAUGUGUUUGAUUAAAUGCCUAGAUGAAGGAACAAUGCCUAACUAGUAUGAUAUAAUGAAAUCUCCAUGUAUGUAGAAGUUACGCCUAUCACAUGUUUUGAUGGAAUUCUUCUAUAAAUGUAGUAUGGAUUAUGAUGUUACUUAUAUUUUCAAGUAAGUUAUGCUUGGUCAGUUUCCUUCCAUCGAGUCCUAGGGGUACUGGUACCCGAAACAUUAGCUGUGUACCUAGAGCCAUGUCAUGUUUUCAUGAUACUCUCAGUCAAGCCAUGAUCCUUAGACUUCAGACAGUCUUAUGACUUAGGAAAUCUCCAUGAUCUCAUAAACUAGGUCAGUUGUCAGAUAUCAGUAAUAUUCUGUCAGUCAACAGAAUUCAGUAACUCAGUCCAUGUUAAGUUCAGUAAAUCAUGUUCAGUGUCCAUUCAGAUGGGAGUAGAAAUUAGCACCGAGUGAACCCAAGGAUGGGGACACGCACUAUCAGAUGAGGGUUUGAUCCUUUGCAGUUAUCCUUGUAUUCUAGAACUAUGUAGCCAGCAUAGGUUGAGACAUCAACACUGUUGAUGAGGGUUGAUAAGGUAGAUAAGCACUAUCAGAUAAGGGCCCCACCAUUCUCGUAUAGAGGACACUAUCAGAUGAGGGUCGCUCAUAGCUUAUCCUUACCAAUGGCACGGUAUUGACACCCUUCCAAUUGGUGUUACAGAUUGGACCCUAAAUCAUCCAUAAUGGUGUAUCAGGGGCUUGUCGGUUAAAUAUUACCUCCCACAGUUUUAGUACUAGUCUCAAUAAAAUAACUCAGAUAGUUCUUCAGAUUCAAGACUGUCAGAUACAGUUGACUCAGAUAUAGUAAGGAACUCAGAUAGUUUUAUUAGAUUCAGGACUAUCAAAUACAGUCACCCAUGUUAUCAGUUACAUUCAGAUAUAGCUAUUUAUACUAUCAAAUAUAUCAUUUUUUAGUAUGUCAUGUCAUCUGUAUUCAGAUUCAGUAAUCACGAUAUCACAGUGUCAGUUACAGUUACGUAUUUAUAUAUGCAUUCUCAUAUUCAUGUUAGAUAGUCAACAAGCAUUAUUCAUACAUGUUAACCCUUGCAUUAGCCUACCUCACAUGUAUACUCAGUACAUUCUAUUGUACUGAUGCAUUUGCGCUAUGGUGCUUUCUUUUUAUGUUACACCAUAGGUUUAGAGACACGUGUUUCAGAUCAAUAGUAGAUUUCUGUCUCAGCAGUCAGAAUAGAAGUGAGUCCUCAUCCUUUGAGGACAUGAUUAUUUCUCCACUAUUUUAUUGAUUAGUUAUUAGUUGUAGUUAGUUGGAUAAAUAUUCCAUCAACUCUUUAUUCAAAUUAUUCAGACAGUAGAGGCUUUCAGACUAGAUACAGACUAUUAUAUUUUAAACUUCAGUGUUUACAAUUUUGUUUUGGGUAUUGUAUUACCCCACAGAUAUUAUCUCAUCCAUGUUAUAUUCAGUAAUGAACCUUAUGGCCUUUCAGUGUAUGUUUCCACAUUAUUCAGUAUUUUAUUUAGUGUACAGGUACAAAUAUCAGUCAUGGGUUAGCUUGUGAUUCUUCAGGAUCAUGAGCACCAUGUAGCAUUCUGGUUCAGCAAAUUGGGGCGUUACAAACUUGGUAUCAGAGCGUAAGGUUCAAUAGAGUCUUAGAAUGUCUAAAAGCCACAUCUAGUAGAGUUUUAUACAUGGGUGUGUUGCGCGCCACAUUUAUGUGCAAGAGGGAAUGAGAUAUUUAGGAACAGUUUCCCUUCUUCCACUAUUCAUGUCGUGCCAGUGAGCAUAAUCAUAAGUCAAUCUCUCAGUCUAAUCCACUUCUUCUCUUUAUUUCAGAAUAUGCCUCCUAAGAGAAGAAAUCAGUCAGCCCCUCAGCCCAAAGAACCUUUGGGUGAUCAUAUUUCUCAUGCGGAGUUCAGGACUGCAUUUACCACUCUUGCUCAGUCAGUAGCUGCCCAUAAUGAGUGACCAACUAUCAUUUCGGCCAAUCCAGUGGCCAACUCAGCUGCAGUUAGGAUUUAGGACUUCACCCGAAUGAAUCCUCCAUCCUUUCAUGAGUCUAAAGUAGAUGAGGACCCUCAGGAAUUCCUAGAUCAGGUGCAGAAGGUGAUAGACAUCAUGGGGGUGACUACUGUUGAGAGUACUUAUCUAGUUGUAUAUCAGUUGUAGGAUGUGGCUCAUACUUGGUUCAAAUAGUAGAAAUCAGAGAGGUCAGAUGAUGUAGGUCCUAUAGAGUGAGAGGAGUUUGUCACCACAUUCUUAGAUAGAUUCUUUACCCAAGAUCUUAGAGAGGAUAAGGUGCUAGAAUUCAUCAACCUCAGAUAUAGCAAUAUGACGGUGAAAGAGUAUUCUUAAAAUUUUACUCAAUUAGACAGAUAUGCUCCUCAUGUGGUUACAGACGACAGAGCCAAGAUGAGUAAGUUCACUUUAGGAGUGAAUAAUAGCAUGGUUAAUGAGUGCAGAUCCACCAUGCUAAAUAGUGACAUGACUUUAGCCAUACUUAUGACCCAUGCUCAACAGAUAGAGAAGCAGAAAAUUAAGAAGAGAGAAAAGCAAAAUAAGAAAGCUAGGACAGGUAGCUUCAAUUUUAGUCAGUCUAAAUCAGAAGGAGGAAACCAUUCUAAGUUUCAUCCUAAGUCAUCAGUUCCAUAGCCUUCUUCAGCCAGUGCUCCAGCUCCUAAGUUCAGAGAUAGAGUGCUAGUCUCUAACUCUCAGGGCAGUGUCAGCAAUGCCCAAACUAAUCCUCUUUGUCAGACUUGUGGUAAGAAACACAAGGGUAUUUGCAGAGCUGGCAUCAAUGUCUAUUUCAGUUAAGGCAAGACAGGCCACAGAGUCAGAUACUACCCUUACUCAGGUUAUCAGAGUCAUCUCCGCUCCUCAGCUCAGUUCAGUCACUUGAAUCAGCAGGGUGCCACCACCAGUAAUACUAGCGGGCAACACCCAAAUAGACUAUAUGCUCUUCAGACCUAAAAAGAUCAGGAAAAUUCUUCUAAUGUAGUUACUGGUACGUUACAGAUCUUUCAUGUGCAUGUUUAUGCUUUUCUAGAUCCAGGAGCUUAUUUGUCUUUUAUUACUCCCUAUAUAGUAGUUGAUUUUGAAAUAAGUCCUGAAAUUCUAGCAAAACCCUUCUCAGUCUCUACCCCAGUGGGAAAAACCAUCAUAGCCCGGCGGGUAUAUAAGAAUUGCCCGGUUAUGAUAUUUCAGAAAGUCACUUCAAUAGACUUAGUCGAAUUAGAGAUGACUGAUUUUGAUAUCAUUCUUGGCAUGGAUUGUCUUCAUUCCUGCUAUGCCAUAGUCGACUACAGAAAUAGAAUAGUCCAGUUUCAGUUUCCAAAUGAACCUGUCCUUCAAUGGAAGGGUAGUGUAUCCACUUUCAGGGGUCAGUUUGUUUCCUACCUUUGGGCAAGGAAAAUGAUAUCUAAAGGAUGUGUCUAUUAUUUUUUUCAAUUUAAGGACACUAGUUCUGAAACUCCCAUCCUUGAAUUCGUCCUAGUAGUGAAUGAAUAUUGAGAUAUCUUUCUCGAAGAUCUUCCAGGAAUUCCUCCUGAAAGGGAAAUAGAUUUUGACAUUGAUCUUCUUCCAGAUACUCAGCUUAUCUCUAUUCUUCCAUAUAGAAUGGCACCAGUAGAACUCAUAGAAUUGAAAGAAUAGUUAAAGGUUCUCUUAGAUAAGGGGUUCAUCAGAUCCAAUGUUUCCCCGUGGGGCACACUAGUCUUAUUCGUGUGCAAGAAAGAUGGUUCUCUCAGAAUGCGCAUUGAUUAUCAUCAACUUAAUAAGGUCAAGGUCAAGAACAAGUAUCAUCUUCCCAAAAUCAACGACUUAUUUGACCGACUUCUGGGUGCCAGCUAUUUCUCUAUGAUAUACCUCAGAUCCGGCUAUUAUCAGCUCAGAGUUAGAGAAAGUGACAUUCCAAAAAUAGCUUUCCAUACUCGGUAUGAUCACUUUGAAUUCUUAGUUAUGUCAUUUGUUCUUACCAAUGCCCCAGCAGCUUCCAUGGAUUUGAUGAACCGCAUGUUUAAGCAGUACUUGGACAUGUUUGUCAUAGUGUUCAUAGAUGAUAUUCUGGUCUAUUCUCGCACUAAGUACGAUUAUGCAGAUCAUCUUAGAACAGUACUUCAGACUCUCAGAGAUCAUCAGCUAUUCACCAAAUUCAGUAAGUGUGAAUUUUGGCUAAGGUCAGUAGCAUUUAUUAGUCACAUCAUUUUCGGCGAUGGCAUUAGAGUUGAUCCUUAAAGGACCGAAGCAGUAAAAAAUUGGCGAAGACCUAUAUUUCCAUCACAUAUCAGGAGUUUCUUGGGUUUGGCGAGAUAUUACAGAUAGUUUGUUAAAUAAUUUUCAUCUAUUGCAUCCCCUAUUUCCAGAUUGACAAAAGAAAGUCAAGUUUCAGUGGUCAGACCCUUGCAAGAAGAGUUUUCAGGAGUUGAAGAGUUGACUUAGUUUAGCCCUAGUCUUAGCUCUUUCAGAUGGUUCAGAUGCGUUCGUGGUGUAUUGUGAUCCAUCCAGAGUAGGUUUGGGUUGUGUCUUCAUGCAGAAUGGUAAGGUCAUAGCCUACACCUCUAGACAACUUAAACCCCAUGAAAGGAAUUAUCCUACUCCUGAUCUCGAGUUAGCAGCCGUAGUCUUUGCAUUGAUGAUUUGGAGGCAUUAUCUCUACGGAGUUCAUGUAGACGUCUUCAUAGAUCACAAGAGUCUUCAGUAUGUAUUUUCUUAAAAAUAUCUCAAUCUUCAUCACAAAGGUAGUUAGAUCUCUUGAAAGACUAUGACAUGCGUGUCCUUUAUCAUCCAGUCAAGGCCAACAUAGUAGCCGAUGCUCUCAGUAGGCUAUCAAUGGGUAGUGUUUCUCAUGUGGAGGAUAGUAAGAAGAAGUAAGCUCAAGAAGUCCAUCAGCUUACCAGACUAGGCAUUUGCUUAGUCGAUUCUUCAGAGGGUGGUGUAUGUGUUCAGAGUAGUUCAGAAUCAUCUCUAGUCUCCGAGGUGAAAUAAAAAAAAAUAGAGAUCCCAGCCUUGUCAAGUUGAAAGAGUCAGUUCAGGAUCAGAAAGUAGAGGUUUUCUCCCAAGGGGGAGAUGGUGUUUUGCUCUGUCAGGGUCAUCUCUGUGUUCCAAGUAUAGAUGACUUAAGGUAGCGAAUUCUUGUAGAAGCGCAUGGCGCGCGCUACUCUAUUAAUCUAGGGGCCACAAAGAUGUACCGCAACUUGUGGGAAAUCUAUUGGUGGAGUGAGAUGAAGAAAGAUAUUGCAGUAUUUGUGGCUAAGUGCUCUACAUGUCAGCAAGUUAAGAUAGAGCAUCAGAAGCCUAGUAGGUCCAUACAGGAGUUCAGUAUUCCUACUUGGAAGUGGGAAGUUGUGAACAUGGACUUCGUGUCGGGUUUGCCUCGAACUCGUCAUUAGCAUGAUUCAGUAUGAAUCAUUAUAUACAGAAUGACUAAAUCAACUCAUUUCCUUCCAGUUCAUACCUCUUAUUCAGCUGUGGAUUAUGCCAAACUAUAUAUCAAGGAGUUGGUCAGAUUGCAAGUUGUUCUGUUGUCCAUUAACUCAGACAGAGGUACCUAGUUUACCUUUUAUUUCUGGAAAGCAUUCCAAAAGGGUCUCGGUACCCAAGUUCAUCUUAGUAGAACCUUCCAUUCUCAGAUAGAUUGUCAAGAAGAAAUAACCAUUCAAACUUUAGAAGAUAUGCUAAGGGAGUGUGCAAUUGAUUUCAAGGGAAGUUGGGAUAACCACUUGCCUUUGAUUGAGUUUACAUACAACAACAGCUAUCAUUCCAGUAUUCAGAUGGUUCUAUUCAAAGCUCUCUAUGAUAGAAGAUAUAGAUCUCCAAUCGGUUGGUUCAAAGUUAGUGAGGCCUCAAUUAUAGGUCCUGACUUAGUAUUCGAUGCCUUAGAAUUCGAUGCCUUAGAAAAAGUCCAAUUGAUCAGAGAAAGACUCUGGGCAACUCAGAGCUGACAGAAGUCUUAUAUAGAUGUUUGUAGGAAAGAUCUCAAGUUCGAGGUUGUGAUCAUGUCUAUCUAAAUAUCUCUCCCAUGAAGGGAGUGAAGAGAUUCGACAAGAAGGGAAAGCUCAGUCCCCUAUAUGUCGGUCCUUUCAAUAUUCUUAGUUGUUUCAGCAAGGUAGCUUAUAAGCUCGAAUUGCCUUCAGAUCUAGCCUCAGAUCAUCCAGUCUUCCAAUAAGUGUAUAGGUGAUCCACCAGUCGUAGUCCCUUUUUAGAGCAUUGAUGUUCAGAAUAGUCUCUCUUAUGAAGAGAUUCCAAUCGAAAUCUUAGACUAUCAGGCUCAUAGAUUGAGGAACAAAAAAGUCCCUCUAGUUAAAGUUCUUUGGCGAAAUUAGUCCGUCGAUGGAGCUACUUGGGAAGCAGAAGUAGACAUGCGUACCAAGUAUCCUCACCUCUUCUCCACCAACUCAGAUCAAGCUCAAGGUAAGAGUUUUUCUUAAGCUUACUCAGUUUCAUGAUCAGUGUUCAUCACAAACUUGGUAUUCAGUUUAAUGUUCAUAUUCCCAGUAUAAACUUGGUAUCAAGUACCAUUGCAUAUUCAGUCAUGCAUUCAUGUAUCAACUCAGUUAUAUAAUUAUGUAUCAGAAAUGCAUUCUUAUUGUGAGAAACUUAGUUCCUCAGAACAUUCAGUCAUGCAUUCAUGAAUCAGUUACAUAUGCAUCAGAUAUGCAUGUUCAGUAUGUUAUGUUCAGCUUGUCAGUCAUGAGAUCAUGUUCCAUUUAUUCAUGUUCAGUUUAUGUUUAGCUUAUUAUUUCCCCUCCCAGUCAGUCUCAUUUGAGGAUGAAUGUUUUCAAGGGGGAGAUAUUGUAAUACCCCAAAGAUUUUUAGCCAAUUUUGUCCCAAGAAUGCCUAGUAUUAGCUUCUAAAGUGAAUGAUAAUUAUUCCAUGAGGAAUUUUUAAGAUUUUCACUUUUGUCAUGUGAAAAAUUCAAUAGGCUUUCCAUUGAUAUAUGAUUUGCUUAAAUUCGAUAACCGGUAAGAAGUUAUGACUAUUUCAAGUUUCCAUCAUAAAAAAGUGCCAUAUUAGUCAGUGGCGCCCUGCACCACAAGAGGAAAUGGUAUUUGGCAAUUUCCAGUAGGUGUCCGCGAUGCUGGCACGUCGCGUCAACAAUCAAAUUCAGAAUUGUACUUUUUCCAGUGUCUUAGUGCGAUUUCCCCUGCGUCGCACCAAAGUUCCAGGUCACAAAAGAAGGGGCAACGUGAUGGCUCCGCAUCGCGCCAUCCCUCAUUUCCCCAAUUGUCAAAUUCCAGUGACACGGAUAGCACCGCAUCACGCCAGGGGUUCAAUUCGGGAAAUUUUUACUGAAAUUACAAAAUGCGUCCAGGUUUAAAAGGGUUAAUUUCCCACCCCUAUUUAAGCCCUUUAACACGUGAUUCAUCCACUUUUUACCCAAAAUACACUCUCUUCUCUCAAGUUUCUCUCAAUAACAAGCUAGGGUUUUCAUAGAAGAUCCAAUUUCAAGAAGGUUUCACCAUCAAUCUUCACGAAAUCAUGAACUAAGGUAUGCAUAGUGUUCAUUCAUGGACUCCUUUUGUCCAUGAAGCCCAAGAAUUCCUUUUCUAAAUUCAAGUUAUGGAUUUCUUUAUGAAUUUUAUGUUUGGUUAGUUUUGUUUAUGUUGAUAAUGAUCAAUUGAAUUCAAAUCCACGUUGGUUGAUUAAUUUUAUGUGGAAUUGAUUUGUAUAGAUGGAUAUUCAUGUGAACCUAUGAAUAAACCCUAGGAUGAUGAAAUUUGAGAUGAAUCAUGAUGAUUAAUUAUUGUAUAAUGUUGUCUACAUGUGCUAUGCCUACUAUGUGUUUGAUUAAAUGCCUUGAUAAAGUAACAAUGCCCAACUAGUAUGAUAUAAUGAAAUCUCCAUGUAUGUAGAAGUUACGCCUAUCACAUGUUUUGAUGGAAUUCUUCUAUAAAUGUAUUAUGGAUUAUGAUGUUACUUAUAUGUUCAAGUAAGUUAUGCUUGGUCAGUUUCCUUCCAUCGAGUCCUAGAGGUACUUGUACCCGAAACAUUAGCUAUGUACCUAGAGCCAUGUCAUGUUUUCAUGAUACUCUCAGUCAAGCCAUGAUCCUUAGACUUCAGACAGUCUUAUGACUCAGGAAAUCUCCAUAAUCUCAUGAACUUAGUCAGUUGUCAAAUAUUAGUAAUAUUCUGUCAGACAAUAGAAUUUUGUAACUUAGUCCAUGUUUAGUUCAGUAAAUCAUGUUCAGUGUCUAUUCAGAUGGGAGUAGAAAUUAGCACCGAGUGAACCCAAGGAUGGGGACACGCACUAUCAGAUGAGGGUUUGAUCCUUUGCAGUUAUCCUUGUAUUCUAGAACUAUGUAGCCAGCAUAGGUUGAGACAUUAACACAGUCGAUGAGGGUUUAUGAGGUGGAUAAACACUGUCAGAUAAGGGCCCCACUAUUCUCGUAUAGAGGCCACUAUCAGAUGAGGGUCACCCAUAGCUUUUCCUUACCAGUGGCGCGGUAUUGACACCCUUCCAAUUGGGGUUAUAGAUUGAACCCCAACUCAGCCAUAAUAGCGUAUCAGGGGUAUGUCGGUUAAAUACUACCUCCCACAGUUUCACUACCAGUCUCAGUAAAAGAACUCAGAUAGUUCUUCAGAUUUAAGACUGUCAGAUACAGUCGACUCAGAUAUAGUAAGGAACUCAAAUAGUUUAAUCAGAUUCAGGACUAUUAGAUACAGUCACCCAUGUUAUCACUUACAUUUAGAUAUAACUAUUUAUGCUAUCAGAUAUAUCAGUUUUUAGUAUGUUAUGUCAUCAGUAUUCAGAUUCAGUAAUCACGAUAUCACAGUGUCAGUUACAGUUAUGUAUUUAUAUAUGCAUUCUCGUAUUCAUUUUAGACAGUCAGCUAGCAUUAUUCAUGCAUGUUAACCCUUGCAUUAGCCUACCUCACAUGUAUACUCAGUACAUUUCAUUGUACUGAUGUAUUUGCGCUAUGGUGCUUUUUUUUUUUUUUUAUGUUACACCAUAGGUUCAGAGACACGAGUUCUAGAUCAACAGUAGGUUCCAGUCUUAGCAGUCAGAAUAGAAGUGAGUCCUUAUCCUUCGAGGACAUGAUUAUUUCUCCACUAUUUCAUUGAUUAGUUAUUAGUAAGGGUUAGUUGGGGACAUGUCCCAUCAACUCCUUAUUCAGAUUAUUCAGACAGUAGAGGCUUUCGGACUAGAUGCAGACUAUUAUGGUUCAAACUUCAGUGUUUACACUUUUGUUUUGGGUAUUGUAUUACCCCACAGAUGUUAUCUCAUCCAUGUUAUGUUCAGUAUUGAACCUUAUGGCGUUUCACUGCACGUUUCCGCAUUAUUCAGUAUUUUAUUUAGUGUAUAGGUACAGAUAUCAAUCAUGGGUUAGCUUGUGGUCCUNNNNNNNNNNNNNNNNNNNNNNNNNNNNNNNNNNNNNNNNNNNNNNNNNNNNNNNNNNNNNNNNNNNNNNNNNNNNNNNAAAUAGAGGAAAAAUGAAAAUCUGAACAAGAUUCAUUUAACAAAAAAGUUGUGUCCCUUAUUUAUUAAAGAGAGGUAAGUUUUAUACAUAUAUAGAAAAGUAUGAAGAGUUCCUCGCGCAAUCGUUGAGGCUAGGUAUCAACUUCAACUUGAUAAAAUAUUUGAACCCAAUACUUUGUCUUUAACUUUCAUUUGAGACUUUUUGAACAAGCAUCUUAAUUUUUGAACAGGCACCUUUGCAUCAUUUGAACUCUAACUUGUUGGCUAUAAAUUUAGAAGUUUGUGUUACAUGUGCAGACUGAUGCUAUUUAUUAGUUGCACUUCAACUUUUUUGAUAAACAAGUAUCUUAAUUUCUGAACAGGCACCUUUGCGUCAUUUGAAUUCUAACUUGUUGGCUACAAAUUUAGAGGUUUGUGUUACACGUGCAAACUGGUGCCACAAAUGUUAGCUGUCACUUUCUCGAUAGUUUAGUUUUUGCACUUGUUUUAAUUUACCUAGAAGUCUAUUUCCUUUGAAAGUAUUUGUUGCUAUCUUAUUAUUUAAUUUGUAGUGCACGUUCUAGUCGAACGUUACAAGUGCUAUUGUAAACAAAUAUUGCAGCAAUAAGAUGAGUAUCACUUUUCCUACAUAAAUUUUUUUUCAAGCUUUAUAUUGACAGAGGUGGAUCCCCUCCCAAUUAGAUCAAUCACCAUUUUUAUCCAACUUCAUUCUUUGUUACUUUGGUCAAUCAUAGGCCAAAAAGGAAUCACGUUCCACAAUGGUAUCGGAGCUUGUCAAAAUUUAUUAAUAAGAACAAGUUAUAAACAUUCAAAUGUUAGAGUAAACAAACAAUCUUAAACAUUCAUUAUUCAUAUUUAAAUGCAAUAUAUUAUUAUUAUCAUUAUUAUUAUUAUUAUUUAAAUUUGCAUUCAAAUUCUGAUAUCGUAAUAUUAAUCUAUACUACCUUAAAAGCAUCAACUCCAAAACUUUAAAUUGAAUUACUAAAGUACCCUUUUAAAGCCUAAAAAUACACCACUUAAAAAAAAACCUGCGCUUGUCACCAUCCCCAACAAAAAUACACAACCUUCUACCAACGAUGCCCAAAGCAUGGCCAUAUAACUUUUUAUAUGAAGGGUUGCAUUCCUUCACAAAGUUUCAGCCUCACGUACACCAGAUUUAUACCUCUAACUUUGAAUGACAAUUUUCGCGUACAAACAACUCACUUCUUUUCUCCCGUUCUCCAUUAUCAGAAAUUUCUAUUUUUAUGAUUAGAUUGUUAUCAUAUGGUUUAAUGUUGUUAAGAAGCGAUCUUCGAACAAUUAUUUCUCAGGAAUCUCUAAUCAUGCAAUAGGGAUAGAAAUAUGGUUGGACAUUAAGACCCACUUUUAAGGGGUUAAGAUAGAAAGCUUGAAGAAUGCACUAUCAGAAUAUGUGAAAUUUAAUCUCUAAAAAUGCUAUAAUGUUAAUUGUAUCAGUUCCUUGACAUGUCUUUGGCUAGUAUAUAAUUGUUGCCACUGUCAAGAACUUCAAUAACAUCGAAGGAAGUGAAAGACAUGAGUUUGAUGUCACGGAAUAAAUUCAUCCUAACAUUCAUGGUAAGUUCAUAUACCAGCCAACCAUAUGGUUAGUUUUUAUUUUAAAAAUUAAGUCAUAUCUAAUGAAGGUUAAAUAAUAUGCGUUUUAUCCUGUAGGAGUCUUGCAACUUAUUUGGAUGGUUGAUACCUAUUGUAUUGUGUUGGUGUACAUGCAUUUUAUUAUAAAAAUAAUAUAUUAAGUGUCUAUGUUAAUGGGUAUAAAUUGUGCAUUAUGAGUAUUAUUAUUUACAUUUGUUAGUGGAGGAAUGUGGUCAUAAGUUUUCUUGAAACUCCUAUAAGGCUGCAUUUGUUUUUUUUAAAGAUCCAGACGUCUAAAUCUGAAUGCACGUCUGAAUGAUUAAGAUGUUGUCUCUAGAUGUGAAAACUAAAUGAUUAAGACUAUUUGUUUUUUAACAUGUGAAUGAACAAAAAAAAUUAUUUGUAUAUAUGAUAAAAUAAAAACUACAAUUCAAAUAAAUAACUAAUUAUAUAUCAGAAAAGUAUGUAAUUUAAUACAACAAAAUUAUUGUUUGAUUGAAAAAAAUAUUUAUGUUUGUUAGUGAUAGUUGAGAUGAUUUAUAAUAGUGGUUGCGGUGACAAUGAUUUGUAUUAGUGAUUAGUAAUGUUAGU